UGUUUGGGGAUUAAUGGGAUCACCCGGGAGCCCUUGUAAAGUGUGAGAGAAUGCGUGUGAUAGACAGUGGUUAGUCUUCUGUUGUAGUUUGUAGGACUCCUGGAAGCCUGCACUUUCCACAAAAGCUAAAAUCCAAGAGGUGGGUUGUCACUGUGGUGGGGAUGGAUGCCCACAUGAUCCAUGGGCUUCUCUUGGCCUUCAUGCCCUGAGGGGUUGGGGCAAACUGUGUCCGUCUACACUGCUGUGUGUUACCACAUACACAAAAUAAAAAUGGCUGUUGACUUUAUAUCUCCCAAA